rnacentral:sRNA from 1 species
UAAGUUAAACAUGUUCUGCACCCGAGUAA